AUCCAUCUGAGGAGUCGAAAAUAGGACGAAACGCGCUUCCUGGUU
rfam:Schistosoma margrebowiei strain Zambia genome assembly, scaffold: SMRZ_scaffold0001307